GCUCUGUGUGUCCCUGAGUGAGUUGGGGGGGGCUGUCCCCUGCUCUGUGUGUCCCUGAGUGAGUGGGGGGGACUGUCCCCUGCUCUCUGUGUCCCUGAGUGAGUGGGGGGGCUGUCCCCUGCUCUGUGUGUCCCUGAGUGAGUGGGGGGGACUGUCCCCUGCUCUCUGUGUCCCUGAGUGUGUGGGGGGGCUGUCCCCUGCUCUGUGUGUCCCUGAGUGAGUGGGGGGACUGUCCCCUGCUCUGUGUGUCCCUGAGUGAGUGGGGGGGACUGUCCCCUGCUCUCUGUGUCCCUGAGUGAGUGGGAGGGGCUAUCCCCUGCUGUGUGUCCUUGAGUGAGUGUGGGGGGGCUGUCCCCUGCUCUGUGUGUCCCUGAGUGAGUAGGGGGGACUGUCUCCUGCUCUGUGUGUCCCUGAGUGAGUGGGGGGAGGCUGUCUCCUGCUCUGUGUGUCCCUGAGUGAGUGGGGGGAGGCUGUCUCCUGCUCUGUGUGUCCCUGAGUGAGUGGGGGGGCUGUCCCCUGCUCUGUGUGUCCCCAGCCUGCUAGGUGCCCCACAGGGGCCAGGAUGCUGAGGAGGGAGAGGUCUUCAUGGGGAUGGGUGGCUCCUGUAAUAACGAGAUGACACUGGCUUCCUGGGGGAACAGCAGGGCAGGGUCCUUAGGUCCCACCAUAGGUGCCCAGUCUUGGCUGAGAUUCCCCAGUGUCCCUGAAGGGGCGCCUGGGACAGCCCGUGGCCCCUUGUCCUCCUGUCACCCUCGACCCUGGGCACCGCCCUCCUCGGCCUGGAAACCUGAGCUCCCUGACACCCCCGCCCCUCUCCCAGCCUGUGCCCAGGAAGGCUGCUGUUCUCUUAGUCAGCCCUGAAGCCUUUCCUCCCCAGCCUCCUCACCCCUCCCUUCGGUCCUUGCCAAUUGCCGGAGCUGGAGAAGGUGGGAGACUCUUGGAGAGACAGGGCCCUGGGGUCCUCCACUCCCAGGGUCAGAUGCUAACAAAGGCCAAGCGUCCUGCCAAGCAGUGUCCAGGAUUGGGGUGGGCAUGGGGGUUUGCCUCAGGUCCGGGCUCCAGGAUGUCGUGCAGGACAGGGCGUGUCCGCAGUGGGGACACUGGCUGGAAGCCGGAACUCCCGGCCUCGAGGGCGGAAAGUGUGUGGCCAGCACUGCGUGCUGGGCGGGGCCAUGGCCCCGUUGCCAGGCAGCGCCUCCCUGUACGCCAGUUGCCAUGGAAGCCGCUUCCUGCCCAUGUUGCCACGGCAUCCAGAUGGCCUCGGGGAGCCUGGUGCAGAGGGGCUGCCCUGUGUCCUUGCCCCUUGUCCGCUGCCCGGGAAUGGGUUGGGAGGGCAAAAAGGAUCAGAGGCUGGGAUGCGCAGCAUGGAGACCUGAGUCCUUCCUGCGGGAGCCGGGCAGUGGCCCAGGGCAGGGGCCGGAUGGGGCUGUUCUCCUGUCCACUCUGCGGCCUUGAGGUUCCAUGCCCCCAGCUUAUUAUUUUCUAUUUUUAUUUAUUGAAGACCCUGCCUAGGCUGGAGUGCAGUGUUGUGAUCACAGGUCACUGCAGCUUCCAGCUGGGCACAGGGGAUCCUCCUACCUCAGCCUCCCAUGUACUGGGGACCAUAGGUAUGUGCCACCCUGCCCAGCUAAUUCUUUAUUAUUUAUUUUUGUAGAUACUGGGUCUCGCUUUGUUGCCCAGGCUGGUCUUGAACUCCUGGCUCAAGUGAGCUGCCUGCCUCAGCCUCUCAAAAUGCUAGGAUUACAGGUGUGGGCCACCUUGCCUGUGCUAGACUGCCCCCAAGCAUAUCUCAAAAGCCAGGAACAGGCCCUGAGUGGGUGGAACUCAGGGUCAACGGAUCAGCCACAGCCCUCAGGGGACCCUGUCUCUGGUGCACCCUAUGCUCCUGGCCCACACCAACCCAGGCUGCCUGUCAGGGUCUGUUCCCUCAACAGCUCUCAGAGCUACCCUACGUGGAGGGUUGGGGGUCCCAGAAAACCUGGGAGAAAUGGCGGUGGGCCCUUUGUGGGCACUAUCCCUUCAUGUCCACCCAGAGUCUGGGCUGUGAUGCUCCUUUGCUUCAGGAGGGUAAGAGGUGCAUGUGGCCUUUGGGGGCCCAUGGGGGCUCCAAGGGUGGUCUUGGGCCUCUCGAGUUCCCCUGGACUCACAGCCAAGAGGAGGGGUCUGAGGGGCGCUGUGUGAGGGAUGCGGUGGCUUGCAGAGUGCCGGCCCUAUCCAGGGCCAGGGUGGUGAGUGGACACAUGUCCUGAGUGCCAGGAGCCUCCCUUGCCUCCCCACCCUGUGGGACACCACCGAGGGGACAGAGAACAGAUGGGGGCUGGGUCCUGGGAAUGGGGUAUGGGGGAAGGGCAGAGUGCUGGGGAUGCUGGGCCCACAACAUCCCUGUCCCUGGGGCCUUCCCAUGUCAGAGGCGAGGCUGGAGAGGUAAGGAUGCACCCUUUGUUAGCCCUGGCCCCAGCAUGGCCAAGCCACUCCCAGCGUGCGGGAGAGGGCAGGCCAUUUGUCUCCCUCCUGAGUGAGUCUCUGGACACUGCUUCUCACAUUUUUUAUUUAAGAAUCAGAGAGAUAAUAAGAAUGUCAUGGAAAAAUCCUCUCACAGACAAUGCAGCCACAUAAAUGACUGUCAGCCAGGGCGUCCAGGGCUCCAAGGCCCCAGGAGGUGGCUGUGCUGGGGCUGUCAGGCCCCUGGCUCCAGGGUUUCCAGGGCUGAAUUGAAUGUGCUCACCCCUGCCCAGGCCCAGUGACAGCCUGCCCCUGAGGAGCCCACAGGCUUGGCCAGUCCACCUUUUUGGUGCUCCCCGCCCACCUGCCCCUCCUAGUCAGACAGUGGAGCCUGGGAAGACAGUGUGGCAGAGUGCCUGAUGGUCAGUGCCAAGAUCAUCUCCCAGGUCCUUUCAAGAGCCAGGACUCCUGCCCUGUGCCCGCCCUGCAUCAAUUGGGGUCCAGGCUGCCCAUUGGAGCAGGAAACACAGUGCUGGGCUAUGAGCUCCUGGGGCCUGUCUCUGUGGCCCAGGACCCGGCUCCUGGGUUGAGGGAGAGAUCAGGGGCAGGUGAGGAGCAGCAGCCCCACUCCAGAAUCCCUCCAUGCCCACCCCUGGUUUUCUGGGGACUUGUGUGCAGGUACCGGCUAGAGCUGCGGUGCAGUCCCCAGUCUCACCACGAGAUGGCGCCAUGCCACUGCAGAUGCAGUGCCCACAGCAGGCCAGGCGUUCUUGGCAGCAGCAGCCCAGGGCGUCCACCCAGGAGAAGCACGGGCAAGACAGGCAGCCCCCUGCAGCCCCAGGUUCCCAUGUUGGUUGGAGCUGUGAUGAAAGGUACCGGGGCCACCCUUGCCUCUGCCCAGGACACAUAGCCAGUAAGUCACACUCCACUGCCCAACUAUGGGGUUUCAAGCCCCACUGCAGCCUCCAGGUGGGCCCUUGGACAGCAGGGCCUCUUGGGGGGAGGAGGGGACACUGGGAAGUCGGGGACCAGGCGGGGAAGGGAGAGAAGGCAGGCGCACAGUCGUGUGGGCACCCACCCCUUCCUGAGCUGACUGCGGUCUUCCCAGUCCACCCCACUCCAGUCCUCUGGGCCGGCUGCCAGGGGUGCUGCUCGAGGCCAAUACCUCCCUAGAAGAAGGUCUCACCUUCAGCUUGUUGCCCCUGACCUGGAGUUCGCCUAGAUCAACCGAGAGGCUGAUCUUUGGGCCUCAGUUCUCCCAUCCUCAGGGAGCAGGUCCUCUGUCCCCUGACAAGACCUCUCCCCUCUGAGCCACCACUGCUGCCAGGGUUGUGACUGGCGGAUGUCCCUCAGAGAGUGGCUCUGGGCCCUCAGGCAACCAGCCACUCUGGGGUGAGGGGUGGUCUGCACAUGAAUGCUGUCACUCUUGGGUCCUUUGGUUGAAGCUGGCUCUGCUGAGCGCAGCCUGCAAACAUUUUUAGGAAAACUCAGUCCACAGGCCGGGGCUUUCUGCUUCCCCCCAACCCAAAUGGCCCCCAGCCAGUCAGAGAGCCUUGAGAACCCAGCUGCUAGCAACUGCCAGCAGGAAACCCACACAGGGGAAGCCCAUCCCCGCAGCGGGCCCCUCCUCCCCGCCCCUCUGCUGACCGACCUGGCAGCUCCACGGGUGGGUGUGGCCGCCCUGCUGCCCCCACCUGCUCCCGAACCCUGUGCUGGGCAGUCCCUUGCCUCAGCAGGGCCUUGCCUCCCCCAGAGCUGCUCUGCUGCCUGACCUUGUGAUGUCAUGGGUCCUCUGGGCACUGGUGCAGUCGGUGGGGUCAGCUUUGGCCAGCAGGUGGGGGGCCGUUGAUGUCAAUCCUCCUCCCUCUCUGCUGUUUCCGCUUCCCUCCACCUGCCCAGCUUCCCUGCUUUUUCCCCACUCUGGCCCCAGGUUGCACUGCGCAGAAAGGUGUUGCUGCCCACUGGUGUUCAGGCCUGAUGUUCUCGGGAGCCUGGGCUAAGACCCUGACCGGCCCUCCCACCACCAACCUACACCACCACCCAGCUAGCCAGCAACAGGACCAGGAGUGGUCAGGAGGGAGCCCCCACGACCACCCACCCGGCGCCCACAGCCAGCUAACUCUGCCCGCUCAGGGCCGUGAGCUGGAGGUGCCAGGACUCCUGGAAGCCGUGUGGGGCAUUCUUCUCCAUAAGUCCCAAGUCGAUGGUAAAGGGCAGUCUCAACCCCUCGCUAAUGUGCAGUGAGCAGUUUCCCAUACAGGGGAGAUGUUUAAUUUAUCCAGGGAACUGGGCGAAAGUUAUAAAAAUGGUAAUUUCUUGGAGAUUCAAUUACAUGUUUUCAUUGUUACCCUCAGUAA